AUAUUCCUGUACUUGGUGUUACUGCGAAGGGGGGACGGAGAAGGCUAUGUUGGCCGGGCGACGGUUGUCCCGGUUUAAGCGUGUAGGCUGGUUUUCCAGGCAAAUCCGGAAAAUCAAGGCUGAGGCGUGAUGACGAGGCACUACGGUGCUGAAGCAACAAAUGCCCUGCUUCCAGGAAAAGCCUCUAAGCAUCAGGUAACAUCAAAUCGUACCCCAAACCGACACAGGUGGUCAGGUAGAGAAUACCAAGGCGCUUGAGAGAGCUCGGGUGAAGGAACUAGGCAAAAUGGUGCCGUAACUUCGGGAGAAGGCACGCUGAUAUGUAGGUGAGGUCCCUCGCGGAUGGAGCUGAAAUCAGUCGAAGAUACCAGCUGGCUGCAACUGUUUAUUAAAAACACAGCACUGUGCAAACACGAAAGUGGACGUAUACGGUGUGACGCCUGCCCGGUGCCGGAAGGUUAAUUGAUGGGGUUAGCGCAAGCGAAGCUCUUGAUCGAAGCCCCGGUAAACGGCGGCCGUAACAAUAACGGUCCUAAGGUAGCGAAAUUCCUUGUCGGGUAAGUUCCGACCUGCACGAAUGGCGUAAUGAUGGCCAGGCUGUCUCCACCCGAGACUCAGUGAAAUUGAACUCGCUGUGAAGAUGCAGUGUACCCGCGGCAAGACGGAAAGACCCCGUGAACCUUUACUAUAGCUUGACACUGAACAUUGAGCCUUGAUGUGUAGGAUAGGUGGGAGGCUUUGAAGUGUGGACGCCAGUCUGCAUGGAGCCGACCUUGAAAUACCACCCUUUAAUGUUUGAUGUUCUAACGUUGACCCGUAAUCCGGGUUGCGGACAGUGUCUGGUGGGUAGUUUGACUGGGGCGGUCUCCUCCUAAAGAGUAACGGAGGAGCACGAAGGUUGGCUAAUCCUGGUCGGACAUCAGGAGGUUAGUGCAAUGGCAUAAGCCAGCUUGACUGCGAGCGUGACGGCGCGAGCAGGUGCGAAAGCAGGUCAUAGUGAUCCGGUGGUUCUGAAUGGAAGGGCCAUCGCUCAACGGAUAAAAGGUACUCCGGGGAUAACAGGCUGAUACCGCCCAAGAGUUCAUAUCGACGGCGGUGUUUGGCACCUCGAUGUCGGCUCAUCACAUCCUGGGGCUGAAGUAGGUCCCAAGGGUAUGGCUGUUCGCCAUUUAAAGUGGUACGCGAGCUGGGUUUAGAACGUCGUGAGACAGUUCGGUCCCUAUCUGCCGUGGGCGCUGGAGAACUGAGGGGGGCUGCUCCUAGUACGAGAGGACCGGAGUGGACGCAUCACUGGUGUUCGGGUUGUCAUGCCAAUGGCACUGCCCGGUAGCUAAAUGCGGAAGAGAUAAGUGCUGAAAGCAUCUAAGCACGAAACUUGCCCCGAGAUGAGUUCUCCCUGACUCCUUGAGAGUCCUGAAGGAACGUUGAAGACGACGACGUUGAUAGGCCGGGUGUGUAAGCGCAGCGAUGCGUUGAGCUA
rnacentral:rRNA from 1 species